UCAGGUUGUCCUGAUGGCUCACAUGAAGUUUCGUGCCGUUCCGACCUCGUUUGAUACGGUUAUGGUUAACCACACGGCCCCUCGGGCCCGACCCGAGCCCAGUCAACGUUUUGACCCGAUCAAAUCGGCCCGUGACCCGAAACGACCCUACUUGGGCCCUACAACAGCCACGUAAAGUUUCGGGAUGAUCCGACGUUCUUUCAUGGGGUUAAGGACAAUCCACGCCAAACAAGCGUCACGGGCCGACCGAGCCGGGCCAACGGGCCCUCGGGACCCGAAAACUGAAUUUUUUUUCAUCCAAACCCAUUAAAACACGUUACCGAGGUCUCACGCAAAAUUUCAUGCCAAUCCGACGUCGUUUGAUGGGGUUUUGAAAAAUUAUGAUUCCUCAAAAAUUUAAUGUCUGUUCCUGUCACUUAGCUUUUUGUGCAAAAUGUAUAUAUAGGGGAGGGGUGGGUGUUGAGCAGCCCAUGCCCGGGCAAGGCAUGCCAGCGCCCAAGCCAAAGGAGGCUGGUGGCGUGCGUAUAACAGCUCAAAUGCCCCAACGAUGACCGAGAACAAGCGCCCAUCUCCCCUCAUUCCCCCCCACCAAGCGCCCCUCCCCCCCCAUGUUGCCUGCCCACUCGCACAGCUACUCGUGAUUUCAUGCCCAGCGACUAGUAAAUGUGCCUCGACGACCAGCAAACCUCGAAAAUUAUGAUUCCUCGUAAAAUUAAUGUCUGUUCCUGUCACUUUACUUUUUGUGCAAAAUGUAUAUAUAGGGGAGACCAGGGGCUUGAGCAACCCCUGUGCCCAAGCAAGGGUUAGAUGGAAGCACACGAGACGCGAGGUUUAAAGCCUAUACAAGCAAGGCGUCUGUCUCCCCAAGCCCCAUUGCCUAUAAAACAAGCCCGAUGCCUUGUAAAUGCCCCACACGAUGCCUAUAAACGACAACGAUGUUUGCUAGUUAAUCGAUCGACGCCCCACACCUUGCAGCAUGUUGCCUAGUAAACAAGCCAUGCUGCCUUGGAAGCGCCCCACAUCAUGGCAUGUUGCCUAGCACGCUGCCCUUGUUUCCCGCACGACGACCUGAAAGCGUGGCCUGACGACGUGCUUGCCUUCGAAAAUUAUGAUUCCUCAAAAAAUUAAUGUCUGUUCCUGUCACUUUACUUUUUGU
rnacentral:rRNA from 1 species